rnacentral:rRNA from 1 species
CAAUAGCGUAUAUUAAAGUUGUUGCAGUUAAAAAGCUCGUAGUUGGAUUUCUGGUCGGAAGCUCCUGUCCUCUGAUGAGCGUACAAGUGCGUCCUACCAUCCUUCUGUUAACCUUUAAGGCUUUCGCGGCUUUCUAGGGGCUCAGAUAUUUUACCUUGAGAAAAUUAGAGUGUUUCAGGCAGGCUAGCGCCGGAAUACAUUAGCAUGGAAUAAUGGAAUAGGACUUUUGCCUCUUCUGUUGGUCAUGAGGCUCGAGUAAUGAUUAAUAGGGAUAGUUGGGGGCAUUAGUACUUAACUGUCAGAGGUGAAAUUCUCGGAUUUGUUAAAGACUAACUUAUGCGAAGGCAUUUGCCAAGGAUGUUUUCAUUAA